rnacentral:rRNA from 1 species
GACGAACGCUGGCGGCGUGCUUAACACAUGCAAGUCGAACGGUGAAGCGCCUUCCUUUUUGGUGGGUGUGGAUGAGUGGCGAACGGGUGAGUAACACCUGAGUAACCUGCCCCCUUCUUCUGGAUAACCGCAUGAAAGUGUUGCUAAUACGGGAUAUUCUGGUUCUGUCGCAUGAUGGGUCUGGGAAAGUGAGUGUGUCGGUGGGGGAUGGGCUCGCGGCCGAUCAGAUUGUUGGUGUGGUGGUGGCCUACCAUGGCGGUGACGGGUCGAUGGCCUGAGAGGGUGGCGGGCCGAACGGGGGAUGGGACACAGUCCGGACUCCUAAGGGAGCCAGCUGCGGGGAGUGUCGGACGUUGGGAGUAAGGCUGAUGCGGCGACAGCGCGUGAGAGAUGGACGCCGUCGGGUUGUGAGCCUCUCUCGCCAGUGACGGCGGCCUGCAUCGUUUGUGGGUGGGUUGACGGUAGCUGGAGAAGAAGCACCGGCUAACUACGUG